GGGAAUGUAGCUCAGAUGGUAGAGCGCUCGCUUAGCAUGCGUGACGUACGGGAAUCGAUACUCGCAUCUCCA
rnacentral:tRNA from 1 species